rnacentral:tRNA from 1 species
GGCGCGAUGGCAGAGUGGUUAUGCAGCGGCCUGCAAAGCCGUGAACCUCGGUUCGAUUCCGGGUCGCGCCUCCA